rnacentral:tRNA from 1 species
GCCUGGGUGGCUCAGUGGUUGAGCGUCUGCCUUUGGCUCAGGGCGUGAUCCUGAGUCCUGGGAUCAAAUCCCAUAUCAGGCU